rnacentral:rRNA from 1 species
GUGGGGAAUCUUGCGCAAUGGGCGAAAGCCUGACGCAGCCAUGCCGCGUGAAUGAUGAAGGUCUUAGGAUUGUAAAAUUCUUUCACCGGGGACGAUAAUGACGGUACCCGGAGAAGAAGCUCCGGCUAACUUCGUGCCAGCAGCCGCGGUACUACGAAGGGGGCUAGCGUUGCUCGGAAUUACUGGGCGUAAAGGGCGCGUAGGCGGACAGCUUAGUCAGAGGUGAAAGACCAGGGCUCAACCUUGGAAUUGCCUUUGAUACUGGCUGUCUUGAGUUUGGGAGAGGUGAGUGGAACUCCGAGUGUAGAGGUGAAAUUCGUAGAUAUUCGGAAGAACACCAGUGGCGAAGGCGACUCACUGGCCCAAUACUGACGCUGAGGCGCGAAAGCGUGGGGAGCAAACAGGAUUAGAAACCCUUGUAGUCC